rnacentral:rRNA from 1 species
AACAUUAGGCGGAGGAAAAGAAACUAACAAGGAUUCCCCUAGUAACGGCGAGUGAAGCGGGAUGAGCCCAGCACCGAAUCCCCUGGCGUACAGCUAGCGUGAACUGUGGUGUUUAGGACAGCCCCUGCCGGUUCGCACGGUCGCCCAAGUCCUCCUGAUCGGGGCCUUUCCCAUAGUGGGUGUUAGGCCUGUACUGGCGACCGUCGAGCCUGCUCGGAGCGUCCUGGGAGUCGGGUUGCUUGUGAGUGCAGCCCAAAGUGGGUGGUAAACUCCAUCUAAGGCUAAAUACAACACGAGUCCGAUAGCGAACAAGUACCGUGAGGGAAAGUUGAAAAGAACU